GCAUCCGCCGUGGGACUUAGGCUGGUGAACAAUUGCUGCCGGGAGAGUUAGGUGCUGGGAUACCUGGGGGCCAAAGUCAGAGCAAUAACUGGAAUUUGUUUCCUGGUUUUUAAUAUAACAAUUCCCCCCACCGCACCCCACGUGAGAGGCUGAAUUAAAGAACCCACAAAGAUGUUAAAAUAAGAGCCGUAGCUAAUAAAAACCUAUUCCAGUGAUCUCAUACUUUGCGGUUGAAGCAACUAAUGGGAGCCACACACCCACAGUGUUAGCAAGGCGUGGAAACCGUCCCCCCUUCUUUGUGGUCCAGCUUAGAGCCGCCUUUCUCCUGCCCGCCCUUUGUGAGGGCAGCUCAUUCUCCGGCUUCCUGUCCUCCUGGCAACAGCAGCAUUCUCGCAGACAGCUUUGUGUCCUCUCCCUGAGCAACCGUCUAAGUCACCGGGGGAGUGGGGGUGGGGGACAGAGGAGGGACACAGAUCCAGGCCUCCUCCCUCCCUGCAGAUCCUCAGGGGGCCUCUGCUCGGGAACAUUCCUUUAGGAGGUGUCAGGGGAGGGGGCACGUGUGCUCCGCGAUGGCCUUUGUGUCAGGUGCAAGGUCAGAUCAAGUGAGUGGGACCUGCGCGCUGUCCUAGGGGCGGCGAUGGCCCUGGCAGGGAACUCGGGGCCCCGCUAAAAGCGGAGGGAGGAGAACUCCGAGGGGAGAGCGGAGAGCGGCGUGUGCUUCUCUGGGCCCCAGAGCCGCAGGAAUCAGUCUGGCAAGGGAGGAAGGGCACGUUUAGGACCUGCCCGGCAAGGCGGGAAGGAAGAGACCCUCGGUUCCAUUGGAUCGGGCUGCUUUCCCAGAAAUUGUGGAAAGCUUAGAAGGACACUCCCUGGCCUGGGAUGACCGUCACGGAAAAAGGCAGGGGGCUGGGUGGGCAGCACAGGCCCCAGGUGCGGUUUUCAUUGCCCCUCUUAGUCGGGCCAGUGCAGGCCGUGAGCCCAGGCCCCAAGCAAACCCGUCAACGCGAAGGCAAGAGGAAUAUGACCCAGUGCAGGAUGAAAAGCCAUGUCCUUUCUGACUUCCAGUGAGCAGUCGUGACACUUGGCAUACUCACGGUGGCACUUCCUAUGGGGCAGGCACGGGAGUCUCGGUUCUUUACAUAGACCCACUUAUUUAGUCAUUACAUAGGAAGCUACUAUUAUUAUCCCCAUUUUUUUAAAAAAGACUUUAUUUAUUCAUGAGAGACACACACAGAAAGAGAGAGAGAGAGAGAGAGAGAGAGAGAGGCAGAGACCCAGGCAGAUGGAGAAGCAGGCUCCCUGCAGGGAGCCCGACGCGGGACAAGAUCCCAGGACCUUGGGACCAUGACCUGAGCCAAAGGCAGACACUCAACCUCUGAGCCACCCAGGCACUCCUAUCCCUAAUUCACAGGUGGGGAAACCGAGGCACGGAAAGGUAAGGUAACUGGUAUAAGGCUACACUGCCAGUGAGUAGUUUAAGGGAAGCCUACCUUACAUUAGGGUCUUUUGCUUCUCACUGACUUUUUGGCUUUGUUCCUUAAUCUACCUUCCCGAGACCACGUCUCCUUAACUCUCCGGGGUCCCCUGAGCUGAAUGGCAUUGCAGCCCGGCUAGUGCUCCCGGGGCGGGAGGGCAGGCAGGCAGGAAGGAGUCAUGGGAAGAAGAGAACAGCUGGCCCUGGGGCUCCUGAACUUUUGAAUUCUGAAGCCCCUUUGUUAAAACUUAAAACUUUCUUAGUAAGUGUACUUAGAGGCUUGAGGGGGAAUAUUUGCACCCACAGAUACAUGGUCACCUUGAAACAAGCACUCCCUACAUCCCACCCCUGAGCCUCAACAAUUUCCAUGGCUGGGGGACCUCUGUGCCAAGACUGCUAACAGUUUAGCCGUGGACCACCUGAAACACGUUAAAAUAAAGAUUGGGGGUGGGGGGGCUCGCCUCUGUUAAUCUCUGGAGGUGGGGCUUCUGACCUACAUUUAAGCAGCUCCCCAGGUGGUUCUCACACACUCUUGAGUCUGAGAAUCCCUGCGUCAUGAUCUGAAAAUAAUGCAGUUUGUAUGCUUUCUCCGGGGCUAGAGCCGUAAUGUGAUGAGAAAGUAAAAUGGCUUUUGACCUCGGGAUUUUUAAUAUAUUCACAAGCUAAAUUGAAAUGACAGAGCCUGGAGAUUUUUGCCUUUGGGCAUGCUGGGCUUCACUUUAUCCUGUCAGUUCCCUGGUGAUCUUUUCUGACCUUAAAAGGUUUUUUUUAAGCCCUUGACUUUGGGAAAAUCUCAACCAGGAAUGUUUCCGACUUCAAAGUGAUCUGUAGCUGGGAGAUUAUUUCUGGCAUGUGUCAUAAUGAGAAGAUGAGCCAAGGGUGAGGGAGGGGAAAUGCUCCAUAGGUGGUCCUAUGAAAUAGGCCGUGUUUUGAUAAUUCUUAACCUGAGCUGCUUUAUUGUCAUAAAACCCAGGACUGGCUCAUUGUGAGAGUUAACGUCUGUAAAUAAAUUUAUCUAAUGAUGUCUC
rnacentral:lncRNA from 1 species